UACGUAGGGUGCAAGCGUUAUCCGGAAUUAUUGGGCGUAAAGAGCUCGUAGGCGGUUUGUCGCGUCUGCUGUGAAAACCCGAGGCUCAACCUCGGGCCUGCAGUGGGUACGGGCAGACUAGAGUGCGGUAGGGGAGAUUGGAAUUCCUGGUGUAGCGGUGGAAUGCGCAGAUAUCAGGAGGAACACCGAUGGCGAAGGCAGAUCUCUGGGCCGUAACUGACGCUGAGGAGCGAAAGCGCGGGGAGCGAACAGG
rnacentral:rRNA from 1 species